UACGUAGGGUGCAAGCGUUGUCCGGAAUUAUUGGGCGUAAAGAGCUCGUAGGCGGUCUGUCGCGUCUGCUGUGAAAACUCAGGGCUUAACCCUGAGCUUGCAGUGGGUACGGGCAGACUAGAGCGCGGUAGGGGAGACUGGAAUUCCUGGUGUAGCGGUGAAAUGCGCAGAUAUCAGGAGGAACACCGGUGGCGAAGGCGGGUCUCUGGGCCGUAACUGACGCUGGAGGAGCGAAAGCCGUGGGGAGCGAACAGG
rnacentral:rRNA from 1 species